AUAUAUGAGCGGCUUUUUGGUUAAGAUUAAGUGUAAUAUUUGUUCUUAUCAGUUUAAUAUCUGAUAUAAAGAAUUAAAUUAAUUUUUUAUGAAGGAGAAUCCAUUAUCCGUACGUAUUCAUGUAUUAUAUUACACAAGCAACUAGGAACGAAGCCAUAUAUAGUUUUGGUGGGGCAGUUGCCCCACCU